UUGAGAGUGUUAAAAUCGAUACAACUGUCAAUGGUCUAUUCAUUCUCCCUGGUAUCCUGGUAUAAAAUAUUUGAAAAUGUGAAUACACAAAAUUGAUAAUGGGUCAUAUAUGGAUGGUAUUGUGGGUUUAUUCGCAUCGUUUGCUAACAAAAUUUUAAUAACCUGGAUCGUGAUUUUCAGUCGAUGUGAAUAAAUCACAACAUAAUUAGUAACCAAAACAGACUGUACCCACAUAUGAAAUAAAUCUUUUACGUUAAAAAUACAACGGAUGUGAAUUUCAAGUCUUUUCUCUAAUAUUUUCUGACAAAUUAGAAGAAAGGAUGCCGAAAGGAAAAUCUAAUGAAGUAGUGGCGUCGGAAACAUCAAAGCCAAGACAGCAAAAUAUUAAGAAAUCGGAUAAAAGAUCCUAUGAUAAGAAAAAAACAUUAGGACAGGGACUAUUGGAUGUAGCAUUGCUAGCAUCAAAUGUAGCUAUACUGAAAGCAGUGAUCAAGGCGGGACCGUCAUAUGAGUAUUUUGUUCCUAUGAUUGUGUUCAUUGCUCUAUCGUUAUUUGUUAUAAUUGUGGUCGCUGUUCUUUUACUGAUCAUCGGAACUACAGAAUAUAUGAACAAUAUUAGAAAAAAAUCAUUGGAAAAACUUAUAAUUGCAAGCAUUAUUCUCAUUCUGUUUGUAUUGAUUUUUAGUGCUUUUAUUGGUGCCCUUGGUUUAAAGGCGGACGAUGAAGACGAUUAAAUGUUACACACAAUAAA